GCAUUUCAGCUUAGUUGGCAGAACAUGAGACUCUUGAUCUCAGGGUUGUGAGUUUGAGCCCCAUGUUGGGCC